CGGUCCCUACGGGAGGCAGCAGUGGGGAAUAUUGGACAAUGGGGGGAACCCUGAUCCAGCGACGCCGCGUGAGUGAAGAAGUAUUUCGGUAUGUAAAGCUCUAUCAGCAGGGAAGAAGAUGACGGUACCUGAUUAAGAAGCCCCGGCUAACUACGUGCCAGCAGCCGCGGUAAUACGUAGGGGGCAAGCGUUAUCCGGAUUUACUGGGUGUAAAGGGAGCGCAGACGGCAGUGCAAGUCUGGAGUGAAAGC
rnacentral:rRNA from 1 species